UCAAGUGCCUUCUGCGGCCGGGGUAGCGCCGCCUAGGAAACGUCUCCUCCUCGCUACCGCUGCCGUUUCCGUCACUCCUAGUCCUAGGGGGUGUAUCUACCGGAGAUAAAAGGAGAGAGGACCUAUUCUUUCCUCACAAAUUUAUUUCUAGUUGCUUAGGUUUAGUUCAAAUAAUUUUUUUUGAUAAAAUUAGAUAUUGCAGGUGUCAAUUUUAUCAGGCGACAGUCAAUCUGCCUCCUUUAUCAACGGAGGGGGUGCUUUAGGGCGUUCCCAAGGAGAACAGCUACUUCAGAUUAUUGAUCUCAUCGUGAAUGGUCGUGGGAAAAAAAAUCAAAGUUUCAAGGUAAUAUGAACGCAGGAAGAGCACACGCUCCAGGCACUGCGAUCAUGCCAUGGCGCAAAGUUGAUCCAGAGAGAGUCCGAAUGCAGCGCAGGGUUGGGCGCAACCGCGCAAGGCUGCAAGGAGUAGAGAUUCAGGACUCUAGAGCAGGCGCGCCAUCUGCUCGACAGAAUGCCUGUGCUGAACACGGCACGGAAGGACCCCUUUUUCUUGGAGCUGAAAUGUGUGCAGUUCUUUUCCUUUGAGUGAACAAUGGCAGCGAAUUGACCAUAUUCAUAUGUGGAAAUAUAUGUAAAGUAAAAUGAUUACUUAGACCAAAUAUCUUUCCGCACCUUGAUUCAUCUUUUCUCAACCUAAUAAAGUCCUUUAUUGUUUUGUUUAUCUGUUGUACUAUAACAAUAGUGAAAGUGCAAUUCAGAAUAUUUGCUAAAUAUAUGACCUUUUGCUAUCUUAACUUUAUCUUGUUGACUGGAUGAACGUCUGAAGCUCGACAUAUGGUCACAUUAAUGACUCAAAGAAGAAUCAGGCAUAUAAUCUCAUGAACUUUUAAUCUUUCUAGUGACCUUGAGCCAUAUCUGCAGAAAAGGCACUCCUCUGUUUUGUUGUUUUUUGAGGGCAAAGAGGCUGUUUAUGUCAUUAUCUGUCCCAUUGUCGGUCUGAACUGAACUCGGGUGUCGCUGUCACGGAUGUCUCAAAUGAGGUGUGAAAUCAACCCGUGUCUAACGGGCUGUGUUCCUCUCUUGUGCAACCAUUUGUUCUGCCCGUGAUAUCUUGUUAGUAUGAGACAUCCGGCAGCAUGCUCAGCAGUAAAAUGACCAAGGCAUGUGCCCCUACAGUUGAAAGCAGAGUAGCAUUUCUUUCCUCUUCUCCUUUCGUUCAUGAUCAGAGGAAUUACACUUUGGAAAAAGAUUAUUGGGAGACAAUUCCAGCAAAUGAUACAUGAGCUUUGGCAUAGCUUAUCGGGCUGGUAAUUCGCUGUUCUUCAGCGAUAAAUUCUUCUAGCAGCAUGCACUGUUAUGAAUUAUGUUUUUACACAUGAUGAUAUUCUAGUUAUCUACCUGUUCUUUUCCAGACUGAAUGAUCUGUACCGUUUACAACCCCACUACCCCAGUGACAAACGGGGAUCUUUCUGCUGGUUCGACGUCAUUUUCUCCUUGGAAUAUAUUUUUUUUUUAAAAGAGAGAAGAGAAUUCGCCUCAGCUUCCAGCAACGCACUGCCAUUCCUGUGAAGCCGAUAAGGCGAAGGCAAGAAUAAAGAAGUUAAUUGCGGAGGAAGCAACGGAGAGAUGGGUGGGUACAUGUACAGUGGCAUCAGGUUUCUCUUGCUCCACCAUUUAUGGGAAAAAGGCCCGAAUGAGUGCUCCGGUGAAACUCGCUUUGAGGCCAUGGCAUUUUUGCCUCGAAUAGCAGCAGCGCUGCGCAUCGCUCCUUUGCCAAAGGCUCUCGGCCGGCCUCCCGUUUACCGCCGCUCUCUUCAAGCGCGCGUCACCGUCACCGGAUGCAGAUGGUUCUCUGUCAAAGAAGCUGCGGUUGGUUGGUUUGGCGAUGGCAACGCCUGCAAAGAUAGCAGGUGCCAUCCUGUGGAUUGAUCUUGCAGAGUCUGCCCCCAGGCUGUUCUCCUUUUAUCUUUACAACAGCUCAUGUUAUCUUGUUGGUAUGAAUCAAACUCAAGUCUUGAUGCUCACAAGUUAAAAUGGCGUUACAUACAGCAUAUAUGUUUGUAAAAGAGGACAUUGUAGUUCUGUGCAGUGUUUUGUCUAUUUAAGCAAAAUCAGAAAUAUUGAUAUUAGAACUUGCGAUAUAAUACAUCAGUUUUAUACAA